rnacentral:rRNA from 1 species
UCGUGGAGUGAUUUGUCUGCUUAAUUGCGAUAACGAACGAGACCUUAACCUGCUAAAUAGCCAGGCUAGCUUUGGCUGGUCGCCGGCUUCUUAGAGGGACUAUCGGCUCAAGCCGAUGGAAGUUUGAGGCAAAAACA